GCAGUCGAACGCUUUUUCUUUCACCGGAGCUUGCUCCACCGAAAGAAAAAGAGUGGCGAACGGGUGAGUAACACGUGGGUAACCUGCCCAUCAGAAGGGGAUAACACUUGGAAACAGGUGCUAAUACCGUAUAACACUAUUUUCCGCAUGGAAGAAAGUUGAAAGGCGCUUUUGCGUCACUGAUGGAUGGACCCGCGGUGCAUUAGCUAGUUGGUGAGGUAACGGCUCACCAAGGCAACGAUGCAUAGCCGACCUGAGAGGGUGAUCGGCCACACUGGGACUGAGACACGGCCCAGACUCCUACGGGAGGCAGCAGUAGGGAAUCUUCGGCAAUGGACGAAAGUCUGACCGAGCAACGCCGCGUGAGUGAAGAAGGUUUUCGGAUCGUAAAACUCUGUUGUUAGAGAAGAACAAGGAUGAGAGUAAAAUGUUCAUCCCUUGACGGUAUCUAACCAGAAAGCCACGGCUAACUACGUGCCAGCAGCCGCGGUAAUACGUAGGUGGCAAGCGUUGUCCGGAUUUAUUGGGCGUAAAGCGAGCGCAGGCGGUUUCUUAAGUCUGAUGUGAAAGCCCCCGGCUCAACCGGGGAGGGUCAUUGGAAACUGGGAGACUUGAGUGCAGAAGAGGAGAGUGGAAUUCCAUGUGUAGCGGUGAAAUGCGUAGAUAUAUGGAGGAACACCAGUGGCGAAGGCGGCUCUCUGGUCUGUAACUGACGCUGAGGCUCGAAAGCGUGGGGAGCGAACAGGAUUAGAUACCCUGGUAGUCCACGCCGUAAACGAUGAGUGCUAAGUGUUGGAGGGUUUCCGCCCUUCAGUGCUGCAGCAAACGCAUUAAGCACUCCGCCUGGGGAGUACGACCGCAAGGUUGAAACUCAAAGGAAUUGACGGGGGCCCGCACAACGGUGGAGCAUGUGGUUUA
rnacentral:rRNA from 1 species